rnacentral:rRNA from 1 species
GGCCCUUCGGGGUACUCGAGUGGCGAACGGGUGAGUAACACGUGGGUGAUCUGCCCUGCACUUUGGGAUAAGCCUGGGAAACUGGGUCUAAUACCGAAUAUGACCACGCGCUUCAUGGUGUGUGGUGGAAAGCUUUUGCGGUGUGGGAUGGGCCCGCGGCCUAUCAGCUUGUUGGUGGGGUAAUGGCCUACCAAGGCGACGACGGGUAGCCGGCCUGAGAGGGUGACCGGCCACACUGGGACUGAGAUACGGCCCAGACUCCUACGGGAGGCAGCAGUGGGGAAUAUUGCACAAUGGGCGCAAGCCUGAUGCAGCGACGCCGCGUGAGGGAUGACGGCCUUCGGGUUGUAAACCUCUUUCAAUAGGGACGAAGCGCAAGUGACGGUACCUAUAGAAGAAGGACCGGCCAACUACGUGCCAGCAGCCGCGGUAAUACGUAGGGUCCGAGCGUUGUCCGGAAUUACUGGGCGUAAAGAGCUCGUAGGUGGUUUGUCGCGUUGUUCGUGAAAACUCACAGCUUAACUGUGGGCGUGCGGGCGAUACGGGCAGACUAGAGUACUGCAGGGGAGACUGGAAUUCCUGGUGUAGCGGUGGAAUGCGCAGAUAUCAGGAGGAACACCGGUGGCGAAGGCGGGUCUCUGGGCAGUAACUGACGCUGAGGAGCGAAAGCGUGGGGAGCGAACAGGAUUAGAUACCCUGGUAGUCCACGCCGUAAACGGUGGGUACUAGGUGUGGGUUUCCUUCCUUGGGAUCCGUGCCGUAGCUAACGCAUUAAGUACCCCGCCUGGGGAGUACGGCCGCAAAGCUAAAACUCAAAGGAAUUGACGGGGCCCGCACAAGCGGCGGAGCAUGUGGAUUAAUUCGAUGCAACGCGAAGAACCUUACCUGGGUUUGACAUGCACAGGACGACUGCAGAGAUGU